rnacentral:rRNA from 1 species
AUUGAACGCUGGCGGCAGGCUUAACACAUGCAAGUCGAACGGUAACAGGAGAAAGCUUGCUUUCUUGCUGACGAGUGGCGGACGGGUGAGUAAUGCUUGGGAAUCCGGCUUAUGGAGGGGGAUAACGACGGGAAACUGUCGCUAAUACCGCGUAGAGUCGAGAGACGAAAGUGCGGGACCGCAAGGCCGCAUGCCAUAGGAUGAGCCCAAGUGGGAUUAGGUAGUUGGUGGGGUAAAGGCCUACCAAGCCGACGAUCUCUAGCUGGUCUGAGAGGAUGACCAGCCACACCGGGACUGAGACACGGCCCGGACUCCUACGGGAGGCAGCAGUGGGGAAUAUUGCGCAAUGGGGGCAACCCUGACGCAGCCAUGCCGCGUGAAUGAAGAAGGCCUUCGGGUUGUAAAGUUCUUUCGGUAUUGAGGAAGGUUGUUGUGUAAUAGCACGACAAA